AGCCCAUUAUGAGGACAUAAUAUCAACAUAUAUUUAAAUAUCUCCCACACUUCUAGAGUGAUUCACUAUCCUUAUGAGUAAAAGUAGUAAGUUGGUUUCUUAGUGU